rnacentral:rRNA from 1 species
UACGAAGGGGGCUAGCGUUACUCGGAUUGACUGGGCGUAAAGGGCGCGUAGGCGGUUUGUACAGUCAGACGUGAAAUUCCUGGGCUCAACCUGGGGGCUGCGUUUGAUACGUGCAGACUUGAGUUCGGAAGAGGGUCGUGGAAUUCCCAGUGUAGAGGUGAAAUUCGUAGAUAUUGGGAAGAACACCGGUGGCGAAGGCGGCGACCUGGUCCGGUACUGACGCUGAGGUGCGAAAGCGUGGGGAGCAAACAGG